GGAUGUGAGGCAAUCUGACUGUGAUGUCUGUCACCCAUUGAUUGUUAGGGUUGAUUCCAGCUGACCUAGCAGGCAAGGCAGGUAUCUCCUUCCUCCCUCAUGGCUCCAUGAACAUCCCUUCCAAAGCUGCCUGCUCAGUCAAAGAGGACAGCUUUCCCCAAAGAGGAGGAUCGGUCUUCUGUCAAGGGGUGGAUAAGUAGCUGCUCUCCCCUGCUAGAACCUCCAAAAAAGGUCUCAGGAACAGCCAGGGUUACAUGGUGCUAGUAUGGACCACAUCACCCUAGAGAGAG
rnacentral:snRNA from 1 species